AAAUAAGUGUAAACAAAAUUAAGAGACCAAUACAUUAUCUCAAAAGUAGCAAACCAUUUAGUGAUGAAUAAUUAUUAUAUGAGUAUUCUACAGCGGUAUUGAAUUCGAAGAUUUUUUACUACCCGCCCUACAUAAACUGUUUAGGUAAGUUUUAUAAUAAAACAAAGUACGGUAUACACAAUAAAACAAAAAACAAGAUUGUCAAAAUUCAACGUUUAUACUGUGCUUCCAUUUGUUUUUUAAGAAAGCAUUUUGAUUCGAUCGAUAGUUAAAAGUAGAGAUAAGGUAAACAAUUGAGUGAUCAGUGAAUUAAUUAGCAAUGUAGAAGUUUGUAUUACGGAGAAACUUAAAAAUUUUUUUCGAUAAUUCUGGUUUAAUGCAGGACAAAGUUCUUUCGCUUAUUUUUAAUUUGUAUGUUAGUGAUCUUGAUAUGAAUUUUUUUGAAUCCCUAUGAAAUUUUAUUUUAACUUUUUGUGAAAAGAGCUUAAGGUCCGGGACUACCCGCAGUCCAACCCCAUCCCCCGGCCGAGGCAAAUGCAUAACUAAAAAACAGUUUUAUGCAUACUAGUAGCAUGUUGAAUAAAAAGAUUGAAGUUUUCGGAACAUAGAAAAAUGACAUAUAAUGUACAGCUGAAAGUUACAAAUACAUUCAAGUAUUUUUCAAACACAAAAAUAUAAUGCAGAACAGAGUCUCUCUUUCCAAUAUCCAAUAAUUUAAACCCAUUCUUUUAAGUGGAAACUCAGUCUUCUCUUUUGAUAACUAUGUACUAUUACGCUAGUGAAACAAUGGGUUUUUAAUAAAGCACCGGCCAUUGAAAAUGAGCACUGUCAAAAAAAAUUAAAUAAAACAAAAAAACUAACAAUGCUUUGGUGUAAUGUGAACUUAGUAGAUUCCCCGUAUAAAUUAUAGAAGAAAGUUCAAAAACAUUUGAAUACUUGUUAAAAUUAAAACUAUAUAUAACUGUAUCUUAAAGGAAUGUUACGGAAACAUUAUUGUAACCAGUGAUAGUUAGGUUGUGAAAAACUGUGUGCAAUUGUUUGCAUGGUGAAAUGCAUUUACAAAUCAAUUUUAAAAUUACGAGAUAAUUGAAGUAGAGAUAUUGAAUAUCUACAAACAAAGUCUAAAGUUGUACUUUUCAUGUUCACAAGGAGUGUCCUAUACCAACAUUUUAUAGACAAUUUCUAGAUAUCGAUUUAAAAUGGACAAACAUAUAAAAAAAAAUAUAUUUAGCUCUUUUUGAACAAUGAAAAAAGGCAGACACAAUAAUGUACUGAGGAGUCCGAGGUUAUGUAAUGUAUGUGAUCAUAGGGUAGAUGACCAGUUCCAUUUUAUUUUGAAAUGUCCGUUUUAUGUCAAAAAGAAAAACUAAUAUUAUGCAAAAACUAAUGUUUAUGCCCUAAAAAUAAUAAGUAUGUAACUAAUAUAUUAAGCAUUUUAUUAUGCAAAAACUAAUAAAGUUUAUAACCUAUAAAAAUAAGUAUGUAACUAAUAUAUUAAGCAUUUUAUUAUGCAAAAACUAAUCUUUAUAACCUAUAAAAAAAUAAGUAUGUAACUAAUAUAUUAAGCAUUUUAUUUUGCAAAAACUAAUGUUUAUAACCUAUGAAAAAAUAAGUAUGUAACUAAUAUAUUAGGCAUUUUAUUAUGCAAAAACUAAUGUUUAAACCUAUAAAAAUUAGUAUGUAUAUGAACAAUACAAAAACUCUCAUUAUAAAAGAUUAAAUCAUGGCAAAAGCUUUAAAAUUAAGAAUGUUAUCUUUGUAAUGUAAUAAACUACUGUGCACUGUGUAAAAUAUACAUUGUGUAAAUAUUCAUAUAAAAUUAUAUUAUUUUUCUUAUCUGUCCACUCACCGAUUGCUUUUAACAGACUGUUUAUAUAUUGUUCAUUAUGUUCAUUGUAUUCCCAUGAGUUGUAUUUCUCAAGGACAAUAAACUUAAUUGAACG
rnacentral:sRNA from 1 species